rnacentral:misc_RNA from 1 species
GAUGAAGAACGUAGCGAAAUGCGAUAAGUAAUGUGAAUUGCAGAAUUCAGUGAAUCAUCGAAUCUUUGAACGCACAUUGCGCCCCCUGGUAUUCCGGGGGGCAUGCCUGUUCGAGCGUCAUUUCACCACUCAAGCCUCGCUUGGUAUUGGGCAACGCGGUCCGCCGCGUGCCUCAAAUCGACCGGCUGGGUCUUCUGUCCCCUAAGCGUUGUGGAAACUAUUCGCUAAAGGGUGUUCGGGAGGCUACGCCGUAAAACAACUCCAUUUCUAAGGUUGACCUCGGAUCAGGUAGGGAUACCCGCUGAACUUAAGCAUAUCAAUAAGCGGAGGA